UACGAAGGGUGCAAGCGUUACUCGGAAUUACUGGGCGUAAAGCGUGCGCAGGCGGCUUCUCAAGUCAGGGGUGAAAGCCCAGAGCUCAACUCUGGAAUUGCCUUUGAGACUGAGUGGCUUGAGUACGAGAGAGGUGAGUGGAAUUCCCAGUGUAGAGGUGAAAUUCGUAGAUAUUGGGAAGAACACCGGUGGCGAAGGCGGCUCACUGGCUCGUAACUGACGCUCAUGCACGACAGCGUGGGGAUCAAACAGG
rnacentral:rRNA from 1 species